rnacentral:lncRNA from 1 species
AAGGUAUGCGACGUAGUGAUUCACGCUGGGGAUUCCUUCCUGUAAUAGUUGGACAUUCAACUUUCUCUACUACUGUAAUAUGAAACGACGGAUCCCUAAGGACGCGUGCGCCCCAGGUGGGCCGCAUUUCAAAAUUGCUCUUCGACAACGCACACAAAGUAGCAAAAUGAUAUCCUUUGGUGACAGUUGCUUGGCACCAAGUUAUUCCAUUUGCUGGGAAAAUACGGUUACAGGGCUAGUAUUUACAACUCAAAUUAUGUAAACGAAUAACAGAGAGGCAAAAACAAUUUGGAUGAACAACAGCUAGGCAGUAUAACAACCCAAGCUGAAAUAUAUGCAAAGAUAACCGCAUCAGCCCGAUAAAGA